CGGACAAGACCAAUCAAACAAGUGGGCAAAAGAAUCGCGAGGAGUUGUGGUGCACAUACUGCAAGAAACCACGACACACCAUAGAUCAAUGCUGGAAACUACAUGGGAAACCACCCACUCGUGAAUGGGGACAAAAAGGUGGCCAAUAAAGGCAGGCUCAUAUGUCGGUUCAAGAUCCAACUCAAGUGAUUGGAGGGUUUAGUAUGGAGGAAAUUGAGAAGCUUAAAAGUAUGUUAGAGACAGUUGACAAACCAGCAACUAACAAUUCUCAAUCAAGGAAUCCGGGACCGGGGCUCGGGGAAGAGGAUUGGACUAGCUAAGGAGCAUGAUGGACUCUAUUACUUGGAUACAUCAAGUCAACCAGAAUUUAGUAAAUCUGCCCUCUCCACAUUGUCUUCACCCUCCAAUAAAGAUGUCAUCUGGUUACAUCAUAGACGUCUAGGUCAUGUAUCUUUUUCUGCAUUAAAAAUAAUGUUUCCUUCCUUGUUCAAGGGAUUUGAUGUUCAGUCUUUUCAUUGUGAUAUUUGCGAGUAUGCUAAACACACUCGUGUCCCAUUUCCUAUCAGUAAUAAACGAUCGUCUUCUCCUUUCUUUUUAAUCCAUAGUGAUAUUUGGGGGCCA